ACGUAGGUGGCAAGCGUUGUUCGGAAUUAUUGGGCGUAAAGGGCGCGUAGGCGGCCUUGUAAGUCAGUUGUGAAAGCCCGGGGCUCAACCCCGGAGGGUCGGCUGAUACUGCAAGGCUAGAGUACGGAAGAGGUAGCUGGAAUUCCCGGUGUGGCGGUGAAAUGCGUAGAUAUCGGGAGGAACACCUGAGGCGAAGGCGGGCUACUGGGCCGAUACUGACGCUGAUGCGCGAAGGCCAGGGGAGCGAACGGGA
rnacentral:rRNA from 1 species